rnacentral:rRNA from 1 species
UACGUAGGGGGCAAGCGUUGUCCGGAAUCAUUGGGCGUAAAGCGCGUGUAGGCGGCCCGGUAAGUCCGCUGUGAAAGUCGGGGGCUCAACCCUCGAAUGCCGGUGGAUACUGUCGGGCUAGAGUGCGGGAGAGGCGAGUGGAAUUCCUGGUGUAGCGGUGAAAUGCGUAGAUAUUCGGAAGAACACCAGUGGCGAAGGCGGCUCACUGGACUGGUAUUGACGCUGAGGUGCGAAAGCGUGGGGAGCAAACAGG